CCUACGGGAGGCAGCAGUGAGGAAUAUUGGUCAAUGGCCGGAAGGCUGAACCAGCCAUGCCGCGUGAAGGUCAGUGCCCUUUGGGCGUUAAACUUCUUUUGUGCGGGAGCAAUAAUGGUCACGUGUGGCCAGACGAGAGUACCGUACGAAUAAGCAUCGGCUAACUCCGUGCCAGCAGCCGCGGUGAUACGGGGGGUGCAAGCGUUAUCCGGAGUUUUUGGGUUUAAAGGGUGCGUGGGCGGUGAGGUAAGUCAGCGGGGAAAUGCCCCCGUGCAACGGGGUGAAGUGCGAUUGAUACUGUGGUGCUGGAAUGCGGAUGCGGUGGGAGGAAUGUGUGGUGUAGCGGUGAAAUGCAUAGAUAUCACACAGAACACCGAUUGCGAAGGCGUCUUACGAAUCCGCGAUUGACGCUGAGGCACGAAGGCGUGGGUAUCAAACAGGAUUAGAUACCCCAGUAGUC
rnacentral:rRNA from 1 species